GACCAAGCAAAUCAAAUUUGAUGUAGAAACAUAUGAAAGACUAAGAGAAAAUAUGAAAAGUUGUACUCAACAUCCAACAACCUUCUUCAUGGAAUGCCUGUGCCUUCAACAGAGGAAUUUGAUAGGAUGAUUAUAGACUUGAGAAAAGCAAAUAGAAAAAUGAGACAAAUAUAGCUGGAAAUGUCCUUACAAAGAUGAUUCAGAUAUCAAGUACAUUAAUGAAAAGAAUGCUAGGUUCAACAGAAAGGCCAAGCAUUAUAUAGGAAAUAUACAACUCAAAUUAAAGAAAACCUGAA
rnacentral:lncRNA from 10 species